UACGGGGGGGGCAAGCGUUGUUCGGAUUUACUGGGCGUAAAGGGCGCGUAGGCGGCAAUUCAAGUCAUCUGUGAAAUCUCCGGGCUUAACUCGGAACGGUCAGAUGAUACUGCUUUGCUCGAGUGCGGAAGGGGCAAUCGGAAUUCUUGGUGUAGCGGUGAAAUGCGUAGAUAUCAAGAGGAACACCUGAGGUGAAGACGGGUUGCUGGGCCGACACUGACGCUGACAGCGCGAAAGCCAGGGGAGCAAACGGG
rnacentral:rRNA from 1 species